rnacentral:rRNA from 1 species
GGACCAUCAUGUCGGUCGUGCCAAUGGUAUGCACUGGCCUUUCUGAUUCCUCCCUCUUGAUGAGCCGUAAUGUCAUUAAUUUGGUGUUGCGGGGAAUCAGGACUGUUACUUUGAAAAAUUAGAGUGUUUAAAGCAGGCAAUCGCUUGAAUACAUUAGCAUGGAAUAAUGAAAUAGGACGUUUGAUCCUAUUUUGUUGGUUUCUAGGAUUGACGUAAUGAU